rnacentral:rRNA from 1 species
UACGUAGGGGGCAAGCGUUGUCCGGAUUUAUUGGGCGUAAAGAGCGUGUAGGCGGCUAGAUAGGUCCGUUGUGAAAACUCGAGGCUCAACCUCGAGACGCCGGUGGAAACCAUCUAGCUAGAGUCCGGAAGAGGAGAGUGGAAUUCCUGGUGUAGCGGUGAAAUGCGCAGAUAUCAGGAAGAACACCAAUGGCGAAGGCAGCUCGCUGGGACGGUACUGACGCUGAGACGCGAAAGCGUGGGGAGCAAACAGG